ACACCCUGGGUUAACCGGUUAACGCAAGACAGAAAGUUGUUCCUGCGCUAACACGAAGCAGAAUGCAGAAUUCUCCGCAUUUUCCGCCGUUGGAGGACUUCCGGACCUCCGAUUCCGAUUCCGUAAAACGUUAUACGUUCGGAAAUUACAUCUCACACAAAUACAGAUUCAAUUACAGCUUUAACACAACUUAUCCAACACAAUUUUUCAGCAUUCAACAUCCCAAUUAGGGUCAAUUCAACGGUUUAUCACUACCC
rnacentral:lncRNA from 1 species